AAUAUUGGGACAUAUAAAGAAAGACAACUCUGUUCCGCAGAGUAGCUGCUGACAUUAUAGUUGCGCAGACACUUUGUUGACUCUAGAGAACCUUGGCCAAUCGCACAUCCCCGUGGCAACGACUUUGCAUGCGGAUGUCAUCCAUAUCAACUUUCGAUGCCAGUUUCUGCGCCUACCAUGGUUACCACGGGUAACGGUGAAUCAGGGAUCCAUUCCAUACAGGGACCCUGAGAAACAGCUACCACAUGCAUGGAAGGCAGCAGGCACGCAAAUGACCCACUCCAGACGCGGGAAGGUAGUGA
rnacentral:rRNA from 1 species